rnacentral:rRNA from 1 species
UACGGAGGGUGCAAGCGUUGUUCGGAAUCACUGGGCGUAAAGGGCGUGUAGGCGGCCCGCUAAGUCUGAUGUGAAAGCCCGGGGCUCACCCCCGGAAGGGCAUUGGAAACUGGCGGACUCGAGUCCCGGAGAGGAGGGUGGAAUUCCCGGUGUAGCGGUGAAAUGCGCAGAUAUCGGGAAGAACACCCGUGGCGAAGGCGGUUCUCUGGGACGGUACUGACGCUGAGACGCGAAAGCGUGGGGAGCGAACAGG